rnacentral:rRNA from 1 species
CCCAGACUCCUACGGGAGGCAGCAGUGGGGGAUAUUGCACAAUGGGGGAAACCCUGAUGCAGCGACGCCGCGUGGGUGAAGAAGUAUUUCGGUAUGUAAAGCCCUGUCAGCAGGGACGAAAAUGACGGUACCUGAAGAAGAAGCCCCGGCUAACUACGUGCCAGCAGCCGCGGUAAUACGUAGGGGGCAAGCGUUAUCCGGAUUUACUGGGUGUAAAGGGGGCGCAGACGGCGAUGCAAGCCAGGAGUGAAAGCCCGGGGCCCAACCCCGGGACUGCUCUUGGAACUGCGUGGCUGGAGUGCAGGAGGGGCAGGCGGAAUUCCUGGUGUAGCGGUGAAAUGCGUAGAUAUCAGGAGGAACACCGGUGGCGAAGGCGGCCUGCUGGACUGCAACUGACGUUGAGGCCCGAAAGCGUGGGGAGCAAACAGGAUUAGAUACCCGAGUAAG